UAUCGAAACCUCAAUUACUGUUAUGAAUUUACUAAAUGAGUUAACUCUGAUUUUUCUCAUUGUUUAUUGAAAUCAGUUCUUAAAAAGGCUGAAUCUGAUUUCAUUGUAUUUCUAGGGUGAUAAAAGAAAAUGUGGCUGAAGUUACCCGAAGUUCAGCUUGCAGUGUAAUUCAGAAGAGUUAAGACCAGAAGUACUGGAAUCAUACUUCCUUUCAGUCUUGCCACUUGCCUAGUGAGGCUUUUCCGAACCUGGAAGGAGACGUCUAGAAAUCCCAACUUUGCUGUGUAAGGACCAUUAGCUGCAAGUCAGUGGAAGUCUAUAGAAAGCAGUGUGAAUUCCAUAGUGGUCUUGACUUCUUAGCAAGGAUUUGGGAUAAGUCUAAAACUUCAGACUUAAAGCUUUGAAGCAUGUUAACUGCAUGAAAUAUUAAACAUUUCGAACUUC
rnacentral:lncRNA from 1 species